UCAAAUUUGAAAUCUGGCAUCUUUGGUGUCCGAAUUGUAAUUUGGAGAGGCAACUUCAGGUAGGACCCAGUCUAUGUUCCUUGGAACAGGACGUCAUAGAGGGUGAGAAUCCCGUUCUUGACUGGAUGUUCUUGCUAGUAUGUAGUGCCUUCUACGAGUCGAGUUGUUUGGGAAUGCAGCUCAAAAUGGGUGGUAAAUUUCAUCUAAAGCUAAAUAUUGGCGAGAGACCGAUAGCGCACAAGUAGAGUGAUCGAAAGAUGAAAAGCACUUUGAAAAUAGAGUCAAAAAGUACGUGAAAUUGUUGAAAGGGAAGCGCUUGAGACCAGACUCAGCCUUUGGCAAACAAGUGUCCUUCUGGGCAGUGCACUUGCCUCAGGUUGGGCCAGUAUCAGUUAGGAUGGUAGGAGAAAGGCUAGGGGAAUGUGACUCCUAUCUGGAGUGUUAUAGACCCCGGCGUCAUGCUACCUGUCCUGACUGUGGACCGCGCGUUAGCUAGGAUACUGGCGUAAUGGUCUUCAGCGGCCCGUCUU
rnacentral:rRNA from 1 species